CGUGAAGUCUUUGCUGGCACUCACUGCACUCCUCAUUCUAACUAUCUGUGCUGCAUGCUGAUAAUCUAUUAAGGACUUCUGUGAAGGCACUUUCACACUUUUUUCUGCAGUGCUGUGUUUUCCAUCAGACUACAAGCCACUGGAAGAUACAUAAAAUCAUACAAGCAUGCAUGUCAUGAAAGUAGAAGUAAAACUGCCUACAGGAACAAAGGAGACUAAUGGAAGAGGAGAAAAGCACGAAGGCAUGGGAAUGUAGGAACAUACUCAAGGUAUUUUAGCAGAUAGAAAUUGGGGGAAGAUUGAGAGAGGAAUGGUCCAUGGCCCCGCCAGAAGAGACACUCACAUCCUCAACCUCUUGGAAUCAGCAAUGUUUGAGAUUCUUUUCUCAGGUGUUUACUUAUUUGUGUAUGUGCGAAUGUGUGCCAUUGAGGGCAGAAGGCAACUCUCCUUCCAUCAUGUUGAUUCUGGGGAUUCCCACUCAGGUUAUCAGGUUUGGUGGCAGCUCCCCUUGCCUAUGAAGCCAUCUUGCUGCCCUGAGGUAAGUGAUUUUGCUGUGAUGAUGAUAAUUUGUUGUUUUGCUCUUUCUUAUGCUAUUUGGAACAACAAUGAAGCAAGUUCCAAUUCCAGUUCAUGAGAGGAUGAUCCAGGACCAUGUUUAAGUAAGAGCUUAGCCAGUUUGAGUGUGCUAUACUCCUCUGGAAAUUUCCUGACAAAACACAUUCAUGUAUAACUUGCCUCUAAUCAGUCUUUAAAAAUUCAUUUUAAACAGCAAAAAUAAAAUAUAAUAGGAUAAAGCAAAAAACAUCAUAUUGAAGUUGGACAAGGAAAACCAACAGAAGGGAAAGAGCCCAAGAGAAGGCACUAAAAACAGAGACCCAUUUGUUCACAUACUCAGGAGUCCCAUUUAAAAAACAAACAAACAAAAAGACACUUAACUGAAAGCCAUGAUACAUACACAGAGGACCAGGCACAGACCCAUACAGGCCUAGCCCUGUGCUCACUGCUUCGCUCUCUGUGAGUUCAUGAGUCUUGCUCAGUUGAUUAGAGGGACUUGUUCAUCUGGCGUCACAAUCC